rnacentral:lncRNA from 1 species
UAAACUCUCCUGGACUUCCUGAUACUAUUUCUGGGUUUUAAUUGGUCGAUCUGCUGCUGAUUGUUUCUUCUUGCUUACAUUACUCAAAUGUGUUUUCCUCUUUGCUGUAAUUCCAGGUAUUUAUUCUCACUCAGGAGAUCUGGAAAUGCACAACUACAUGUAAAAGUGGUCGCAUUUUGAUAUUGGAAACAUAUUCUUUUUAUGUUAAUUUCAUAGUUGUAAACACUGUCAGUCUAGUAAUACUUAACAUUCGUUUCAAUGGAUUUGUGUUGUAAUAACUGAAUAUUUGCACUGUGCUGGAUUGUUUCGAAUUAUUUGGAAUGUCAGCUUUGAGUUGUUUAAAUUUCAGUAGGGUGAAAACAUGGUAGUCAAUAAUUUUCUUGGUCCUCACGUCUGAUUCGAUAAUAGGAGUAUCACAUGUACACAUAUGUUGGUUUAUAUUGAUAGGUUUAUAAGAUUGCAUAUGUCGAUUUUAAAUUUGAGUUUUGGUAUACUAAUUCACAGGUAAGAAAAGGGUCACACUGUUUGGAGUUUAUUCUAUCAGACGUCUGUGAAACAUUAAGAAUGAUCAAGGUAUAAGUGAUUUUAAAUAGCUGUGACAUAGAGAUUUGUGGAGUGCUACCUUUGUCUUGUGAUUAAAUUGUAGUUUCAAAUUCUGGGCUCAAACUGAAGGCCCAAACUGUUGUAAUUGUGAGACACAAGAAACAUAUACUCUUGGGCUAACUACUUCUAAUAAUGAGCCCAAUUGUAGAAAUCAGCCAUAAAAAUGCUAAAGGUAGGCAUGCUGAAUUUUUGUGGUAGAUCGUUAAAAUGUAAAUUAAUUAAGACUUCUCUUUUUGUUUUAGAGAUGACGUAUAAUAGAAAAUCAGAGUUUCUUUAGGUUUCCUUUUCUAAAAAUAAAACGAGUGUGUCACGCUAAACAAAAUCAUACGUUGUGUGUCCCUCUAAUUGUAGUAAAAUGCUUAGAAAUCCGGGAGAUGCUAUUUAGUGAAUUUCACGAUUUUCCCACGAAGUUAAAAAUAUUUAGUUGCUUUAGGCGCGUUAUUUUAAUAAUUCAUUUUCCUAAAUUCGGAUGCGCAUUUAUGUGACCCAAAUCCAAAUUCUCAACGAUGUUAAAAUAUGCCAAAAAUCGCAUGUGCAUUUAUGUGACGUGGGUCGAGAUGUAUUUUAACAGCGUUGCAAUAUUCCUAAAAAUGUUAAAAAUCGGUAAAGAAAUAAUUUAAUUUCACUAUAGGAUGAACAUGUAUAAAAAUCAGAUUCUUAGCCACUGAUAAUAGUUUAAGCGACCAUGCUAGAACCACGGAAUCCGAUGAUGCCUGACACCUUCCCUCGGGUUAAUAGAAUUCCUUACUCAAGAAUUUCUAGUUUGCAUACUUCAAAAGGAAAGUCAAAAUCUUCCUCGAUUUGGAAUUUAAAAUAAACCGGUGACUUGGGACACCGGAAAAAUAACUCAUCCCAAAUGGAGACUCUAAAAUAAAUAAAUAAUCCCAUUUCGAAUAAUGUCACUUUAAUUGGAAAAACUCCAUUAUACGUGUCAUCCUUCGGGGUAUACGUGUAAAAGGAGGUGUGAUAGGUUUCACUCUGUUUUGAGCCGAUCUUUGACAUUUCAUCACUUUGUCGCUCAAACCUGCAAUCGAGCCAAACCUGUAAGCAUUUUGGGACUAUUUUGUAGCAAAUUAUACUCAAAGCAUAGGAAAGUAAGGGCAUAAAAAACGUUAAAAUACUACUUAUCAACUUGCCCUGUGUGAUUUAUUAUGACAUGUAAAUCAUUGGUUUUGGUUUUCUAGCUAAUCAGAAUAAAUUUGGAAGAACAGUUCUCAGUUUGAAGCUUGAAAUUUGAAAGGGUUGACCAAGAUUUGAAUUGUUAGUAUAUGACCUCAGAUUGAAACUUUUAUGAUUUGGUUAGCUCCAUUAGGUGAUUUGGCACUUAGGAGCGUGAUCAGAAUACAUUUUGGAGGUCCGUGGAAGGAUUAGGCUUGAAUUGACGAUAUUGAGAUUUUGGCGUUUUCCGGUUGAUUGGUGAAAUUUUGAUAUAGGGAUUGAAUGGAAUUCUAGAUGUUGUAAUAGCUCCGUUUUGUCAUUUGUGACGUGUGUGCAAAUUUUCAAGUCAUUCAUAUAAGGUAUGGUAGACGUUUCGAUCGAAAGCGAAAUUUUGAAGUUCUUGAAAUUCUUAGGCUUGAAUUCGAUGUAAAUUUCAUGUUUUGAUAUUUGUUUGAGCGCUUCCAAGGUUGGAAAAAGUAUAAGCGAUGUUAUGGAAUAUGUUGACAUGUUUGGUUGAGGUCCCGAGGGCCUCGGGUGAGUUUUGGAUGGUUGAACGGAUCAAUUUCAUAUUUUGAAAGUUGCAGAUUUUCUGGUUUCAAUCACAUGCAUUUUUUUCUUUGCGAUCGCAUAUAAUCGUUCGGGAUCGCUUAGGCUCAGUUGGGAAGGGGUGAAGAAUUUUCCUAUGCGAUAGCAGAAGUUAGGUUGCGAUCGUGUGAGUUGGCUUGGAAGUGCUUCGUUAUUGCGUGUGUUGUUCCGCGAUCGCAUAAGGUAAGUUGAGGGGCAGUACUAUUUUGUGCAUCAUGAUCGUGAGGCAAUUUCUGCGAUUGCGAUGAACGAAAUACCUAGGCAGAAUGUGUAAGUGCUAAAUCGAGGGUUUAAUUAUAAUCACAAAAACCAUUGGAGAGCUCGUGAGAAGGUAAAAUUUGAAGAGAUUUUUAGUGGAGCUAUUGGGUAAGUGUUCUUCUCUCACAUUUGGUUUAAUUUUAUGAUUGAGUCUUGAAUUUCAUCAUUAAAUUUGAGAAAUUAGAGUGGAAAUUGGGGGAAAAUGGAAUAAAAAUUUGAGAUUUCUCAAAUUUAAUGAUGAAAUUCAAGACUAAAUCAUGGAAUUAGACCAAAUAUGAGUGAAGAAUACUUAACCCAAUUGCUCCACUGAAAAUCCCCUCAAAUUUCACCUUCUCCCGAGCUCUCCAAUGACUUUUAUGAUAUUGGACUUAAACCCUCGGUUUUGAAAUAUAAAUUGUCUGAGAUAUUUCUUCAUCACAAAUGCAACAUAUCCUUCGCGUUCGGGAAGCACACCGCUUCACUGGCCAGAAUUCCAUAUAUGCAAAUGCGAGAACCCUCUCACGAACGUGAUGCCCAGCUGACUCAACACAUGGGCCAGGGGACCGGGUUUGAGCAAUUUUUAGAUUUUUGACGUAAAUUGAAUAUUUUCGAGUGGGCUUUGUUCCGUUAGCAUAGUUUAGUAGUUAUAGACUGAUUAUAGCUAGACUUGGAGCAUCCGGAGGUAGAUUCGUGAGGGCAAAGGCAUCGCGGGCUAUACUUUGGACCUGAUCAAGGUAAGUAUUGAUUGUAAAUGCUGUCCCGAGGGUUUGAAACCUCGGCUUUCACAUCGUUGUGCUACUUUAAGGUGACACACAUGCUAGAUAAAAAGCGUGGAGUCGUUGACUGUUGGGGAUUGCGACUUAGUCCGACCCGUAUGACUGCUAAGUCGCGUAUUUGAUUAGAAAUCUUAUAAUAUUCCAUAUUUUAGAGACUGAUAUGAUAUUUUGAGUUGUAUGCCAUGAUUGGGGCCUCGUGUCGACUUGUUGAGACCCUUAGGGGAAUUUUUCCUAUUUUUCCUCACUCUUUUGUGUUAAAAGCAUAUCCUUGGUCAUGUUUACUGUUUAUUUUUUAAAUCUGGUUUUAUAACUUCUUAAAAUGUAAAAACUAUUUGGGCUGAGUUACCUGUUUUACUGAUGGUCCGAGUGAUUCUGAGGUUGAUGACUGAGAUAGACCGAGGGAAUAAUUGUGGGUUAAUGACUAAGAGAGGCCGAGAAACUGACUGUGAGGAUUAUAUAUUUAUGGAACGUCGCAACAAUAUAUAUAUAUAUAUAUAUAUUGCUGCACACUGCAGCAAUAUGUUGGAUAGGGAUGCAUGCCGCAACAAUAUAGCGCUUGGGCUGUAGAUCCCCUCUGGAGUCUGCACACCCCAAGUGAGCGCAGUCGUCUAUAUAUAUGGAUCCGGUUGCACACCGCAACGGUAUAUGGAUCGGGCUGCAUGCCACAAUGGUUACUAUAUGGUACCUAUUGAUUGUGAGUGUCGAGUGUGAGUGCUAAUUUGAAAGAGUUGAGUCAUGAGUGACUGAGAGGGUUGCCCGAUGGGCUAUAUAUAUGUAUGUAUAUAUAUAUAUAUAUAUUUAUGUAUAUAUACAUGUAUAUGAGUGAUGCUUUGCCCGAGGGACCUGUUUAUGAACUUACCUUUUUUCACUCCUCCUUAAAGUGAGUCUCUAUCGAAUAGGUUGAUUUAAUAACUAUUUCCAAUCAUCUUUAGACCGAGCCUAUAUUGAAAAUGCUGAACAAAUGUUUUAAGCAACUCUCAUUAACCUGAAGUUUUUAAGAUAUGAAAUGGUUAUGAAUUUCUAUUUUACCGAGGGGCUGUAUACAAACUAUGCUUGCCCGAGGGACCGAUUAUGAUUUUCAUCGCUUUCACCAUAUAUAUAUAUAUAUAUAUAUAUAUUUCAUUAAACCUCCAUGGGAAAGGUUAGAAAGAUAUUUUCGAAAGGAUUUUAUUGAAGAUGGAAGUUUAACGAAGUGAUUUGAUUUGUAUACUAAGUGCCAUGAUGUGGUAUACGUGAUUUCUUACUGCUUAGACUUUAUUUACUUUUAUUACUUAUUGGGUUGGAGUACUCAUAUUACUCUUUGUACCUUGUGUGCAGAUUGUAGUAUUUACUUUUAUCACAUUACUGGGUUGUACUACCUCGAGAUCUCUGAAGGCAACCACCCAAAGCUAUGGUCUGAAAGUUGUCGCUCUGGGAAAUGCACAAAGUGCAAAGUGUAGUAUCAGCACAACCAACCCCAUGUGCUGGUAAAUGCCUACCCUAACCUUGGUGAAACAGUGACAAGGCUAGAAACAAACUACCAAAUAAACCCAUGCAAUUAAACCAUAUAUAGCAAAAAUAGAAGAAGAUAAUUAUAACUAAAGUCGAGCGGGGGAAAUAUGUUGCGGGGAGUAACAUAUAACAACAGAACAACAGUAGAGAAAUAUAAGGAAUGCCAUUAUCAAUUACCAGCAAGGAUAAGGAAAUAAGAGGAACAGGUACACACGUAUACCGUCGCAAGUGUGCAACCCGUUCCCAUUUCAUAUGACACCGUUACAGACGUGCAACCCGCUCCUAUUUCAUAUAUUACCGUUGCAGUCAUGCAAUACUCUCCCAUUUCAUAUAUUCUGUUGCAGGCGUGCAAGAUGCUCCCAUUUCAUAUAUUACCGUUGCAGGCGUACAACUCGCUCCUAUUCCAUAUAUUACCAUUUUAGGCAUGCAAGCUGCUCCCCUCAUGUAUUACCGUUGCAGGCGUGCAACCCGCUCCCAUUUCAUAUAUUACCAUUGCAGGCAUGCAAUCUUCUCCCAUUUCAUAUAUUACCAUUGCGGGCGUGCAACCCGCUUCCAUUUUAUUUAUCAACACUAAUCAUAAAAGAAUCCCCGCAAUGUAACAACAUCCCGGCAAGAGAACAAUAAAUUACAACAACAUCCUGGUAAGAGAACGAUAAUAUCACAAUAAACAUUCCGACAAAGGAACAAUAAUAUGAGUAUAUGACAAUAACAUCCCGGCAAGAGAACAAUAAUUAAAAUCCUCAUAUGGAGUACAAUAUGCCACGACAGAGCCAUAACAAUUACAAUACAAGACUCACGGGCAUACUUGACACCGACAUAUAGAUACUCGUCACAAUACCCGUACGUCAUACUCCACAGUUAACACAAAGCAAAUAAGACACGACUCCUAAUCCCUCGAGCUAAGGUUAGACCAAACACUUACCUCGAUGCCAUGAACACAAGCCAAGUCUCAACUAUCACUUUACCUCUUUAUUCCACCACCAAUUCGCUCGUAUCUGCCCACAAAUUACUUAAUCAUAUUAAUAAAUACUAAAUGAAUCAAUUCUAAUUCAUGAAAAUAAGUUUUCCAAAGUUUGCCCAUGUGAGCAUGUGAUUUUUGCUUCAUCAAAAUUACUCCUACAGGAUUCCUAAAGUUAGGAUUUCUCCUUUUAUUAUUCAAAUGAUUUAGGAUUUUACCGUGCAUGUUUGUGUAUAUCUUACUGGUGCGUGCAUGGCGAGUCAUAAAAAAUACCAAAAAAUAUGUGCCUUUUCAUUUAGGAUUUAAUUUGACAACUUUGCAUUAAUUAAGAAACUUUGUCAUUUUAUAAAAUACAAAAAAAAAUCAUCACAAAAGUAGUUUACUUUGUUUAAAAUUUUAAAUUCGUGAAUAUUUUGUAGUUUUCUUAGUGGUUUGAUAUUUUAUUAAGUUUGUAAUAAUUGUUAGUCUUAAUUAAUUUGACUUGGUAGUUUAAAUCAGUUUUAAAAUUUAUUCAGGGCUUAGUAUAAUUUUUUUGAAUAAAGGAAUUAAGAAAAGAAAAGGAAUGAAAAAACAAAAACAAAAGAAAUUUGGGCCAACCAGCCCAAACAAAAACCUCUGAAUUAAUCCGGUUCCCAGCCCAAACCCGCGUAAUUACCCGAUCCAGCUUCCCCCUCUCCAAAAGGACAAUGUUUAGUCUCGUUAAAUCCAGGCCGUCUAGGUUUGCCACAUCAACGGUCGAGAACUUAUGAGAUUUUAAUAUAAAUAUGUCCUAACGCUACCCUACCUCCCUCAGACCCCCUGACCCUCUCGUCUCCUUCAACUCAUCAGAGGCCCGUAAGGCCGCCGUCCACCACCCUGAAACCACCGCCGAAAAUUGCUUCAUGGCGGCAGCCGACCACCAAAUGGCCCCAAAUUUGCACUGUAGGACCCUCGCAGCCUCCCAUGUCCACUCCUACCAUCAGAAUCCCUCAAAUAUUCCCCCAUCCCGUCGAAUAUUCAAAUUAAGGGUCGCCGUCUCCGCCGCCUACGGUGGCACAAACCCCAAACCUGUCCAACUUAACACCCCUGAACCACCUCGUUAUCCUCUUUCCAACCCUCUAAAUCCCAUCCCUCGAACCCUCACCAAUCUCCUCAAAUAUUAAAUCAAAGCUUUGGCCCAAACCCCAACCUCACUGGAAUCCUUCAAAAAUGGUCCCAGGUGACCUCCUCACCUUCCUUUCCACAAAUCCACGACCAUCAACCUUCAAAUGCAACUAGAUUUGGCCAAAAAUUAGAUCUGAAACAUGGACCCACCCCCAAAUUGGCUAACCCUACACUUGAUGCUCUCCCACCCCCUCAAACGAUGGUACAAGGGUCUCAAAGGUAACAAGCCUUCUCAGAAAUGCUUGAAAAUCAUUGGACUUGAAAGGCCCAAUUUCUAGGGUCGCAGUAAUUAAGUUAAGUGCCCUGAAUUUUGUUGAUUGCCUUUUUAAUUUUUUCUUUUUUUCGUUUGUGUAAGUGCAUGAAUGUCCAUUUUCCCGUCUGAGUAGUUGCGUUGUUUCUAUUUGCUCGUGUGUUGAAUUUCUGAGUAGUUACUUUGCUUCUAUUUGCUCAUCCGUAAAAAACUUCUGUUUAGUUACUUUGUUUCCAUUUGCUCAUUUGUAAAAAUUUUUGAUUAGUUACUUUGUUUCCAUUUACCCAUCUUUAAAAUUUUCGGAUUAGUUACUUUGUUUCCAUUAUCUCAUCUGUAAAAAUUUCUGAUUAGUUACUUUGUUUCCAUUUGCUCAUUUGAAAUUUUUUUUUCUGAUUAAGUUACUUUGUUUCCAUCACAUGCUAUUUGUUUUAAGUUUUGAUAAUAUGCUCCUGAAUGGUCCCCUUCUCUUUUGAAGUCAUAUUUGUCUCUUUCAAUUCCUUUGGAUUAUCAUGCUAAGUUCAGAAUUGGUCACCUCUUGUUUAACUUUCCAUUAUUUUUCUUUUAAAAUUGAUUAGUGUCCAUUUGUGAAUCUUGUUUUCUGAAGUGUGCCGUUUAACUUUAUUUUCUUCUGAGUAAUUUGGUUCCAUAUUCUGAUACUUGUUUAACUCCGCCUAUAUAUAUGUGUUGCAUCGAUUUGUUACUUAUCAAUUUCUGACCCUUGGUUGUUUGUAUUUAUAUGGUAUAGCUUAGUUUCCAAUUAGGUAGUUGGCCAUGUCUAGCUUUCUCAAAAUUUGAUCCCAACUGAUAAUAUAACCUUGGUUUAUGAUUUUAUGUAGUUAACUAGGGUCAAUUUCUGACCAAAUGGAUAGACACCAGGUUAUAGCACAUCUAGGUUAGUAAUUAAGAAGGAAAACAUGGGUAUUGGGGCUAUUUGAACUUAAGAAUCUUGUAACAAACUCCCGGAACAUUCUAGUGAAGGGUCGAAAUGCAAUUUCUGUCCAUUAUUUCUCAAAACUUGAGGCACGAGUUCAAAAAUAAGGGAUCUAUUAAGUAAAUCUAAAAAAUGGGUAAGGGACUAAAAAGAAAGAAUUUGUUUCCCUAAAGAUUUGGCUAUAAAAAGAGACAUCUGGUUGUUUAAAAAGGGGAAUACACUUUCAGGGGAUACAUUUUUAGAUACACAUUUAGAGAGAGAUACAUUUUAGAGAAAAGGUCGAGAAUAUCCACCUGAAAGCCAAUUCCUGAAAUCCUAAGUUUUCCUGGCAAAAUCUUCUAUAAUAAUCAAAAUUAUACUCAUUAUAAGUUGAAGAUGAAUUGAGGCAUAUACAUUUUGAGUUUUUAGAGAAACUUGUGUCGUUAUCUGCUUCUCAAAAUUUCCUGAGUUCCUAGGUUAACUAGUAGAUUUGGCUGCUGUUGCUUGCUUGCUUCUCGUUUAACUUGCUCAUAUGAUUCCUCUUUGGCUGUAAUUCUAGGUACUACUCUCAUUCAAAUUUGGGAAAUGCACAGCUGUAUACUCGUGACCACGGUUGAUAAUGAAGAUGUUUUCCGUUUUUUAUAUCAUAAUGUAAAUGUCGUUAGUUCAGUAAUAUUUAAGAUGUCUAUCCCAUUUUUAUAGUAUAAUAUGCAUAAACAUGUAACGAUGUUGGACUGUGCAUGGACUAUGACUCUAAUUUGUUUUAACUAACCUGCAUGAUUUUUAUGAUUGAUUCUUUAGUAGGGAUUCGACAUCUGUAUAUGUACUCUAAUUGACAAGUAUAUCAGUUUUUAUAUGCUAGAUCUGAAACUUGAGUUGUAACGUAUUAAUUUUCCAAUACAAAAUCAUUGCCAGGAGUCCCUUUGUCAAAUAUCUUUAAUAUGUUUAAAAAUGAUCAACUAUAUAAUAUCAACAGUUGCGGUGUAACAAUAUAGAAAUGUUGUCCUACUCUUUGUGAUUAAUUUGUAGUCCAAUGUUUCUGGGCUCAAAUUGAAAGCCCAAACUGCUAUAGUUGCAAAGCAUAAGGAAGUGCAUUCUCUGGGCUUGCUAUUUUCAAUAAUUAAGCCCAAAUUGAAAAAUCAGCCAUGAACGAGGUUGAAGACAUACAUGCUGAAUCUUUCUUUUGAAUAUAUCGUCAACAUAUGAAAUAAUUAGGACGUAUCUUUUGUUUUAGAGACGGGUAUAAUAAAAAAUUAUAGUCUCUUUAGGUUGUCUUUUCUUAAAAUAAAAUGGGUUUGCCGUGACAAAAUCAUACACUGCGUUGGCCCUUUAAUUUCAAUAAAAGAUGCAUAGAAAUUUGGAGGUGUCGUUUAGCAAAUUUCACGGCUCUUCCACGAAUUUUAAAACACGUAUUUUCUAUAGGCGCGAUAUUUUAACAAGAUAUCUUCCUAAAUUUGAAUGCGCAUUUAUGUGACCCAAAUCCAAGUCUCAACGAUGUAAAAAUGUGUCGAGAACCCGGGUGCAUUUAUGUGACAUGGCUCGAGACAUGUUUUGAUAACGUUGCAAAUAUUCCUAAAAAGAGACAUAAAGUGGUUAAUAAUUUUAAAAUUGCAUUGUAGGAUGAACAUGUAUAAAAUAAGGAAAUUAGCCAUUUAUAAUUGUUUAAGCGACCGUGCUAGAACCACGGGAUCCGAGGGUGCCUAACACCUUCCCUCGGGUCAACGUAAUUCCUUACUAAAGAAUUUCUGGUUCGCGGACUCUAAUUGGGCAGUCGAAAAAUUUCCUCGACUUGGGAUUCUAAAUAAACUGGAGACUUGGGACACUAAAAGCCAAACCAAUCCCAAGUGGCGACUCUUAAUUAAUAAAUAAUCCCAUUUUGAAUAAUGUCACUUUAAUUGGAAAAACUCCAAUGUACGUGUCAUCCUUCGCGGUAGCCGUGUAAAAAGGAGGUGUGACAGCUCUGGCGACUUUGCUGGGGAGCGAACCCAGAAUCUCUGGUUCAUGGUUCAAAAAUUCGAGCUUAGUGUAACUGUUAUAUUUGGCUUUAUUUGAUUUCAUAACAUGUUCCAUGCUAUAAGUGCUAAAUGCUUUACCGCCUUGAUAUUAUCUGAACUAUACAUAUAAACUGCUACGAAACCCUUCACUUCUCACCUUCAGGGAUGUGCUUACUGGUUGAGACUCCCUAUUCUGUUAGUGUCAUACCUCAAAAAUAAGAAAGAGGCCAGACAAGUUACUAAGCCGGAUGGCCUUUUGGUUCCCGGUAUGUAGCCCCCUCCUCGACUCGAGUAGUCCGCUCGAGUGCACAGUCUAGACCCUGUACCAAGGUGUUUUACUUAUAAUAACUUGACCUCAUGCCGGAUCCCUAGUAUGAACGCUUAUUUGCAUCAUGCAUUUGAUUUAGGGGACUCAACAUAGGGUUUGGGUCUGUCUAGGACAGGUUACCCGAAGUGAAAAGACCAUCCUGAUGCAUAUUUUGUGCUACUUGUGCAUUCAUUUGCUUUGGAUUCGCAUGUUGAUCGGCUUGUGAAUAAAAGGGAAAUUUGAGAGUUUUGAGAUAAAUCAUUUGUCAAACCAAUGUUCAAAUAGUGCCAAAAUGCUGCCGGAUUUUUUUGAAACAAAACAAAAAUACAAAACAAAAGGAAAAGAAAUUGGGAAAGUUUUUGGAUUUUGAUAAAUUGUUUUGCCAGGUCCAACCAUUCUUAUGUAAAAAUGCUAAAACAAAACAAAAAAACCAAAUAUUUGAUUUUAUCCACUUAUUUGAAAUAAAUCGGGUGAUGCCAUUAUUACCGAAAAUAGUCGAAUGUUACUGCAAGGGACGCCGGAAUGCUAAUCCUGCACAAAUGGCCACCCCUGAGUCUUAUUUUGACCGGCAAGCAAGCACACCCUGAAAAGCCUUCUCUUGGAAGUGUUGCAAGGCCGUAUUCGGAAAGCUAGGCCUUGGUUUUACGAAAUGAAUUUCAUAAAAUACUGGUUUUAGUAUUCCGUGGAUAUUAAUUCACCUUAAUAAAUGUGCAGAAUGAGCACGAUAAUGUUCAUGAACAAAAUUCCCUUGGANNNNNNNNNNNNNNNNNNNNNNNNNNNNNNNNNNNNNNNNNNNNNNNNNNNNNNNNNNNNNNNNNNNNNNNNNNNNNNCUUCCGAUCUUUCAUGAACAAAAUUCCCUUGGAGUUGCCACUGUGGUGGAAUGAUCUGGGGGAAGCAGGGAAGAAAAGGGUCAAUACACAUCUGGGAGGCCUCACUGGUUUGUUGAAAAUUAACCCAAGGGGAGACAUCUUAAAGGCAUUAAUCACAUUUUGGGACCCGGCUCACAAUGUCUUCCACUUCUCGGACUUUGAACUCACACCGACAUUGGAGGAGAUAACUAGAUAUAUUGGGAUUCCUGCAAUUCCAUUUAGACACCAAUACCUGAUUGCACCAAGAGCCCUUGCCGUGCAAAAAUUCCUGGACUCCUUGAAAAUCAGUAGGAAGGUUCACAAUCCGGACUUAUCAACUGGCUUUUGCACCCCGCAAUUUAUAUAUCAGAGGUACGGACAUAUCGGGGGAUUCAAUAACCCCGAAAAUCAUAUUUGUAGCAAGGGAAUCAGCUCAAAUGGGAGGAGCAUCGAUGAUUUUGCAUUCAUGGUAUUUUCUUAGGUCUUCUAAUAUUCCCUCGAAAGGAUGGUUAUAUUGACAUACAAAUGGCAGAGGUCGUUUGCACUUUAAUAACCCAGGCUAAAAGUACCCUCGCUCCAAUUAUCUUGUCCGAAAUCUUCCGUGCUCUCACCGCAUUUAAAGCAGGAGGAUACUUCUUUGAGGGAUGUAACUUGCUACUGCAAAUAUGGAUGAUCGAGCAUAUAUGCCACCACCCCGGUUCAUGAAUUAUGGGUCGCCAACAAAAGAGCUGCAUAGAAGAAUUCUACAACAGGGUUAAUGGGUUUAGAGUACCUGAGGGUGUCACAGAAUGGGUGUCGCAUCUCCGGGUCAUCACUGCAAAUCAGAUAGAGUGGAUGUUUGUUGUCCGGGUUAAUGGGUUUAGAGUACCUGAGGGUGUCACAGAAUGGGUGUCGCAUCUCCGGGUCAUCACUGCAAAUGAGAUAGAGUGGAUGCUCGGGUGGCUCCCUGUGGAUGAAGUUGUGUAUAUGCUGGCCACCGGACCUCAUUUCCUUCUGAUGGGUCUCCGAAGUAUCAAGCCCUAUGCGCCAUAAAGAGUACUAAGGUAAUUGGGUAGAUGCCAAAUGAUCCCAGGGACGAGGAUAUUAGUCGUCAUGCAGUUGAAAUAAGACCAAAGGGUCAAUUCCCAGAAGCCGUCGUAUGUCAAAUCUGGAGUGAAUGUCAAUACGUGACAACAGAUACUCGAGUGCGCGACAUAUCUAUAGGUGAGGUUGCACCGGGGUGUGUUGCUUGGUACAAAAGAGAAAUAGAGCCUGGAAGGCCGGCUAAGAGACCACAUCUCCAAGAAUUUGCUGAGACGUCACAAGAGAAGUGGGAUUGAUUAGCCAAGGAAAAUGAAUAUAGGGCCACUAUAGGAAGGUUGGAAAAGAAAAUCCAAGAGCUGCAAAUUGAAAACAGUUUGCAAGCUGCAGCCAGUGAGGGAGAAAAGAAGAUAUUAACCAAAGAAAACGAAGCCUUACGAGCCUAAAUUCACAUAAUGAAAGCGGCCACAGAAAAUCCCCCCAGAAGCACAUAAUAUGAAAAACUCAUAGAAAAUUUACGGCGGAAAGUAACUGAGUAUGGUUUUGACUUCCAGAAAAUGAAGGUAGCCACAGAAAAUCCCCCUGAAGUAUAAGAGAUGAAAAACUCAAAGAAAAUUUUCGGCAUAAAGUAACCGAGUAUGGGUUUGACCUGAAUAAGGCGGAAGAGGAGCUAUCUAGGGUUCGGAAGCAAUUGAUUAAAAGUGCAGAGGAACGAGCCCGCAUCCUUGAGCAAUUAAAAGAAGGGAAUAACGAUGAGAUUGUUGGUUUAAAGUGGAGGAUCAUUAUGACUGAAAACUGAAUGACCAAGCAAGCGGGGGACUUCAAAUCUGAAAGAAAGCAUUGUUAUGCAGUAAUAGCAGGAUUAAAGAGGGAUUUACGGGCCAUAAUGACUGAAAACAGAUUGACCAAGCAAGCCGGGGACUUAAACGCCGAAAGAGAGCAUUUUUAUGCAGUAAUAAUAGGAUUAGAGAGGGAUUUGCGGCAAUUCCAAAAGCUGAAUCAGGUAGCAGAACGAACUCUAGAGGCAAGAGCGAGAAAUUUGGGCGUUUGCUACACGAAAAAGGUGUUGUCAGGGAAAAGAUACGGGCAAUCACAGAUUAUAUAACCGCAAAGUGCAACCAUUGUGAGGAUAUGAUAAAAUCCAUGUUCUUUGCUACCGCCAUGACAUUUGUUCGUCAAGUGAUGGAAGACCUCCACCACCUCCAAAGAAGUUUAGCACGCAAGCCUACGGCGAGGCCGAACGAUGCCCCACAAGUUCCAAAAGCAGUUGAAGUCCUUAUAUAUUCAUAAUUUCUGAAAAAUUGUAUUUUUCUUGAAAGAGUCUGUCCGUCUGUAUGUUCUUUUACGCACCAUUCGAGUCUACAAGUUGUGUCCAAGUUUGGUAGUUGCCUUUAAUUUUGUUAGCUUUUGUAACCAAAGUUUUUUGUCUUUAUAAAAAUUGAAAAUCCCAAAAUAUCCUAUUAUUUCCAUCACAUUUGUUUCAUGAACUACGCUCGGUCUGAUUCAUGCGGUGUCAUGAUACGUAGUCAAUCUUAAUUGGAUUCGACCGUAUUAUUAAAAAAGGGGAAAGCGAAUAGGAAAUAAGAAGUAGAAACCAAAAGGAAGUUCGGAAUAAAUGCCGGGAUGACGCAUGUGACCAUUAAAAACAUAUAGAAUCCUGUUAAGUGUGUAGGUGCAUCAUACCCGAUAUGCGAUUUCGUAUUUUUAUCAAUCCCAACCUAACCAUUUAUUAUUCCAGUUUCCAGUCAAGGUUUUUUAGAGAACAGUGAUUGGUUUGUGGUAAUUUGACAUUGCACAUAUACUUUAUUAGAUCAAAAGGAAGUGCAGAAAUGUCAUCCGAAAUGACUCUAUAGGCAGUUCCCAUCCCAGAGGACAACCCGAUUGCAGGGAUCCCAGCCUUAGAAUCCGCGGCAGCUGAAGAAAAUAAGAUCCUUUGAGUCAGAGUUAUGGAGAUGUGGGAUGCUUGGACAAAUGGAAAAGAACCUCCAUGUGCCAUCCCCGGAUUUCCUGAACUCUUCCCCAGGUCGGGGGGUACCUCCACUAUCCCCAUCAGCCACCCAAAUAUCCUUUUGGGGCAGCCUACCAUAUCAGCCAACUUUGUCGGAGCACCUGAUGAAGCCCGUCCUCCGAUGUUCACAUCUGGCCCAGUUCCUAAUAUUUAUACGGCUCCUCCGUGCGCAGCCACCACACAACCUGCGGCGUCGAGGCCCACGUUUGAUCCUACAACGUUCACAUUUCAAACUCCCAACUACCAAACCGAGCCUCCCGCAUACCCCACAUACACUUAUCCUCAACCGGCAUAUGAAUUCACACCGAUGCAAGAUAAAACUCCUAAGAUACCUGAACAAGAUGGGAUAACAAGAACGAUGAAAACCCUUGAGCAGAGUUUGAAAAACAUGCAAGGCUUGAGUGGGCAGAAGAGCGUGUCUUACUCGGACUUAUGCAUCUUCUUGCAUGUACAUAUUCCCUUUAAAUUCAAAACACCGAAGUUUGAAAAGUACGAUGGUCAUGGCGACCCCAUUGCUCAUUUGAAAAAUAUUGCAACCAACUGCGCGGGGCAGGUGGAAAAGAAGAUCUACUGAUGGCAUAUUUCGAGGAGAGUUUGGUAGGCAUCGCUUCUGAAUGGUACAUGGACCAGGACAUCACUCGAUGGCAUAUUAGGGAUGAUCGCUCCGGAGAUUUCAUAAGGCAAUUCCAGUAUAACAUCGAAAUUGCCCCGAACAGGAACUCUUUGGCCAACCUGAAAAAGAAACCUUCGGAAAGUUUUAGCGAAUAUGCUGUCAAGUGGCGUGAACAAACGUCUAGAGUAAUAGUGCCCAUUGAUGAGACAGAGAUGGUCACUGUUUUUCUCAUGGCACAGAAGGCGGAUGGAUGAUCUCAUCCGGGAUUUCGUUAGGCAAUUCUAGUAUAACAUUGACAUUGCCCCGGACAGGAACUCUUUGGCCAACUUGAGAAAGAAACCUUCAGAAAUUUUUAGAGAAUAUGCAGUCAAGUGGCGCGAACAAGCGUCAAGGGUAAAGCCACCCAUGGAUGAGAAAGAGAUGGUCACUGUUUUCCUGCAGGCACAAGAGGCGGAUUGUUUUCAAAAUAUGAUGUCAGCAACGGGCAAACCUUUUAUGGAAGCGAUCAAAAUCGGGGAGAUGGUAGAAAAUGGCUUGAAAACAGGAAGAAUUCUCAGCCAGUCAGCCAUAAGGGCGACCUCCCAGGCCAUACAGAACGGUGCAGGAGGAGUCGCAAGAAACAAAAAGAAAGAAGAAGCUUCAAUGACAGCCUCCGACAUGAGAAGGCACCAUUCUCCCAGACCCAUGUUUUCAGAAAAGACCUCUUAACAUUACAAUCCUCAUCAAGACAUGCAUUGUGUUCCCCAACCUUAUGCUGUCAUGAAUGCCCAACCAUUUGCUCGACCACAACAUCAGGGCAACAGAAACCAGGCCCCGAGGAAUCAGCCUCCCCAAAACCACUAUGAUCCCUGCCCUCCAUAAAAUAAUUACCGUCCCAGGGAACCAUCCAGGAGACAAAAAUUUACAAAAAUAGGGGAGUUUUAUGCUAGCUUAUCCCAAAACUGGUCCAGAUGGGUCUCCUGCAGCCUGUGCCCCCGGACAGGCAGAACCCCGAGUAACCUUCCUAUCAAUGGGGUGUACGCUGUGCUUAUCAUUUCGGGGCCAAGACAUGACACCGAAAACUGCUGGCUCUGAAACGAGCGAUGGAGGAUUUAAUAGAACAAAUAAAAUAAUGAUGAGAGAUGAAGAGGUCCCGAAGGUAACCAAUAACCUGUUGCCGGCUCACAAAAAUGGGCCAGUCAUCAGAAUGAUUUGUGAGGACAAAGAGUUAGACCUUGCUUUAAAAGACAUAAUAGCCAUUGCUGAUGCAGAUAGAAAACCGAAGGUUACCUCCAAGAAGGUUGAAGAAAAGGAAACAAGUGAAUCCAAGCACCCAGAAGCAGAGAAGAAGUUUGAAAUUAAGACUGAGACGACACCCACCAAGGAAACCAUAAUUUACAUCCCACGGAGGCAUCAAGAAAAACAACCCACUCUGAGUCCCCCAAGAAGGUUUGAAUUGAACAAGACAGUGAAUAUACUUAAGGGAGCUUAUAUGGUACGGGGAUCGAUUAAACCACCAAGGCUGAAUGAGCCCGUGGUAAUCGGUUGCUUGCCUCAGAAACCAAUGACGGACCCUUUUGCAGUCCUAUGGUAUUACCAGGAAACCAUAGUAACACACAAGGGCAAAGAGAUCACCGGGGAAACUUAAAAGGGCCAUCCCACAAAGAAAUAUUCGGACAUGGAAGAAGUGAACACCGCCACCAAAAGGCGAUUUUCACCCAAAAGGCCCGUAAAUGCUAUAGAGGCAAAGGCCUUCUUUCAAAAAAUGAAAAUGACAGAAUAUGAGCUGGUGGACCAGCUCUAGAAGUUAGCCCAUAGGCUUUAUGGAUACUACCCGAGUGAGGGUUUGCUCGACCUCAGGUUAAAAUAGCCUCUGGGCCUUCAUGAUUGAGUGAGGACUUUCUAGAACUCGAAAUAGAGUUAGCUAUUACGCUUCAUAGAUAGUCCCCAAGUGAGAAUUUUCUCGAACUCGGCUAACCCUUAGGAUUAGUAGUCAGGUGAGUACUUGUUGGAACUCGAAAUAGAGUUAGCCGUUAGGCUUUAUAGAUAGUCCCCGAGUGAGAAUUUGCUCGAGCUCGGGUUAAGUAAGUCCUUGGGCUUUUAUGAUCGAAUGAGAACUUUCUCGAACCUAAAAUAAACUUAGCCUUUAGGCUUCUUUAUAUUGGCCCUUAGGCUCUUCUAGGCUAGCCCUUAGGCUCUUUUAUAUCGGGCCGAUUCAGCCUCUAAGAAGCUAUAAUUUAUCCCUGUUUUGGCUAAAAGAUUUAUUGAAAAUUUCUUUAUGCCUUAGCAUGUGUUUUUAUUACCCGUUGGUUUUUUCGAGGGUUCAAUCAAUCAGAACCUGUUCGUGUUAAUGCCUCUUGAGUCUUUUUCGAAGGAUGGUGUUAUUGAAGCCAUUAAAUUAUUUGAGGGAUGAUUUUAUUGAAGCCCAUUUUUGCUUUUGCCGAGGGUAGCCAUGUUUAACCAAUUUUUUGAAGUAUUUGAAGGCCUUUAAUUUAUGGCGGAAGUCGGACGUCUCUGAGCUGCAUUAUUUCGGCCAUGGCCUUUUACAUGACCAGAAUAUUUAAUAUGGAUGUAGCUUUUAAUAUGGCCAUAGCCUUCGGGUAUGUCUCUCGUACUUGUUUCCCGGUAGCCUUUCAAACUUGUUCGAAAGGUUAGUCCCCAAGUAUGAUGGCCUUGGCCUGUAUAUCGGGGAGUGCCUCUUUGUGGUCUUAUGAUUUCGAACAUUGAUAGCUCGAGUAGGUAGAGGUAUGCUUGCACUUGGGUUAAGAUAGCCCUUGGCCUUUUAUGAUUGAGCGAGGAUUUUCUCUAACUCGAAGUAAAAUUAUCCCUUAGGCUUCAUAGAUAGCCCCCGAAUGAGAGUUUCUCAAACUCGGGUUAAGAUGGACCUUGGGCUCUUUUGUAUUUGUUUCGAAUUCCGAACACCCUUGAUCUGCGUUAACUCGACCAUAGCACUUUUUUAGUUCAGAAUUUGUUCUUUGGGAUUUUCACUUCGAGCUUGAUCGAAGAAUCAAUCCCCGAGUGGGGUGGCGGUGGCCCAUAAAAUCGAGGAUCACCUUUAAGGUCUUAUGGUCUUGAAAUGUUAGCAAUUUGAACUUACGUUGUGAUCAACCAUUAAGAAUGUUUACAUAAUAAAUCAAGAGUAUGAAAUAACAAAAUUUUCUAGAAGCAUGAGAUAUCGGUAAGGAAAGAUACUUCUCUCAAUAGACGAUUACACAUGUGUGCAUGUUUGAUGUUAGGGCUCUAGUAACUUAUAUGGGCACGGCUCAUCUGAUCGUUUGACCCUUACAACAUUUUUCUAUCAAGGCCCCGUUGUAAUGAAGUAACUUUCUUGCAAUAAAGCGGACAUUAGAGAGUAAUGCCUCAUAGAUCUUGAGGCUUAUUUCAGGGAACCUUGGAUACUAACGUAAGUCAGUACGAACAAUGGUUGCCUCGUUAAAGACCUUGUCGGAAAAACCCAUUCGGGACAAAAUUUGGUCCAAGGGAAAAAGAGUGCAAUGCGUGCUUUAAGAUUCAAAGUGUUGGCCCAAGUAAAUGUGAAGUUUUGAACACUUACAAAAGAACUCAUGCAUGGACUAGGUCCAACUCGUGAAACACAGUUGUGAUCAACCCAAACAUAUGAGAUGCACGUGAAGGAGAUAAAUCUAACUUAUCUGAAAUGAAAUCAUCUGAUCAUGAUCGAAAAUAUUGCAUAUUGGAUAAGGAGAAAGACUCCUUACACAAAGAGAACACAGUUUAGGAAAAGGAUAGAGUUGGAGCAUGAGAUCAAUUAGAACUCUUCCACCAUAGAAGAGUAGCAUCUGUAUCCUAGUAAAUCUCUAAUUACUAACUCUUUAAAUGUCACGACCCUAAAACCGACCCAAUCGUGAUGGCGCCUAUCAUAAAACUAGGUCAGGCGACACAACUCCCGAAUUGACCAUUAAUAAAUAUAAAUCAUUUCUAAGCUUUUAAUUAAUCCAAAUAUCUCAUCAUAUAAGUCUAAAUGAACAGUGCAAAAUAAAUAUACAAGCCCGGCAUUGGGGUGUCACAAGUCAUGAACAUCUACUAAGGUCUGCAUAUAAUCAAGAGUCUGAAAAUAUACUAAAAACACUCUAAGGAAGACAAGAAGGAUAAGAGAAGGCUUGUGACUGUCAGGCUGCCUUGCUAACUCCGAUGACUCUGCCACUGAGCAAUCAACACCCACUACCGGGUUCAGAAAUACAUGAAUCUGCGCACAAGGUACAUGGAGUAAUGUGAGUACGCCAACUCAAUAAGUAAUAAAAGCAAAUGAAAGCUGAGCAAUAAGAAAACAUGAAAACCACGUCAAAACGCUACAACAAAUGUAGGAUGAUAACUAGGGAUUCUAGUUCAUUUUAUACUUCAUUUUACUUGAGUUUUGGUUAAAAUAUAUACAAAUAGUCCCAAAGGCUUAGAUAUUGUGCUUGUUUGUAGGGUUUGGUCAAAGAGUUGACAAGAAGUCAAAACCAGCUAAAAAAGGAGUAAAACCUGCACAAGUACCAAGCACAAGUCAAAGCACAGCUGCAACAUAUCCACUGCGGCUGCAAUCCAUUUAGUGUAGUCCGGAGUGAGGAGAUUUAGAGAAGUGCAAUUUUAGAAGCUCAAGCACUGCGACCACAAACCAUUUUGUGCGGACUGCAGUAGCAUCACUACGGUUGCAAUCGAUUUUAUGCGGUUCGCGGAGCAGAGAUUCAGAGAACUGGGAUUUCAAUUGUUGGAAGCCACUGCGGCCACACACAAUUUCAUGUGGAUUGUAGUGAAGCCACUACGACCGUGGUGCAUUUUAUACGACCCGCGGUGGAUAGAUUCAAAGACCCUAAAAGUCAAGCCAAAAGCCUCAUCGCGGUCCGCAUGUGUAUUCUACGUGGACCACAAUCCUGUCAGGGGUAUUUUUAUCUAGGAAAUUUGGCGUAGUAUAAAUACUUUCAUUUCACAUUUUAGGUAUCUUUUGUAAUCUAACUUUUGUUGAGCAUGUCAACGGUAGUUCUUGAUUAUUUUGAAUAAUUUUAUAGUGGGUUUAUCAUUGAAUCUUCAAUUAUUAGCUUGUAAUCAAAUAUUAUGGGGUAUUCUUCAUCUAUUUAUCAGUUUUCUUCCAUUAUUAUGAGUAGCUUGACCCAUUAGCUAGGGUUGUGGUUCAACCCUAGUAUGGGUAUUUGAUAUGUCUUGAGUUUUAAAGCUUAAAUAUUUAUGGGUGUUUGAUAUUUGGACUAAUUUGUGUUUUCCAUGUUGAAUUAGUGGUUGCAAAUACUAGUUUAUGCCUUUUUGACUUAGGAUCUUCUUGAGAAAGAGAGUUCGAGUCUAGGAAAAUUAGCCCAACAAGGAAAUGGGGCAUAUUCAAGAGAUUGAUAGCCCCAAUUAAAGGGAUAAUAAUACCCGACUUGAACUUAUAUUUCUUUCACAAUUUCAAUACCCAAUUGGUCUUGAGAAAGUCAAUUAGGGCAAAAUCACUCAAACUACAGAGAGGUAUAUAGUGAGUAGUUCUGUGCAUUGGUUAUAUCGUAAUCCCCAACAAAAUAAUUCUUCCUUAGACUUUAGAUCCUGUCAAGUAGUCACCUAGAAGAGAGUCACUUCCUUAGUGCCUCUUUAACCAUUUAGAAAACCUUACAAGCAUUUCACUCUUAGUUUAAUUUACCAUAUUAUUAACAUAAAAAUUAGAUGUAACAAACAACCAAAGAUGAUUGGAAGUAUAAUGAAGAGCACUAUGCACUACUAGUUUCAAUAGGAAUCCAAUUCCCACUUCCAGCUCCAUGUGGAUUCGAUCCCGGCCAUCUCAGGUAAAAGCUGCUUCGAUCGCUCUUGCCACUUUGUAUUAGUGUAGGGUUGGCCCCGUUCACCUUUUGGGGAGGUUGCUGGGGAUUUAAGUCAGACGCUUCUUGGAAGGCAACCCACGUGUCUUUCUUUUUAUUUUUCUUUAAUUUUUUUUAGUGUAGGAUUUGGACUAACUAGUUAUGAGAUGUGUGUAGGAUUGUUUUUAUGCAGUGCGGGACCAAGUUGGGAAAAAUUUGCAAAUGCCUUAUUGCAGGGACAACAUUUCAAUGCAGCCAGCAAUGUUGAUUGGUAAAGAAUGGGGUUCUCUGAAGUUAUCCGCCACGGCUGAACUGCAUUUUGUGCGGUCCGCGAUGGACCACUGCGGCCGCAGUGCAUUUCUUACAGUAUGCACUAGAUGUCUCCCCAGUGCUCUAUGUUUCUGAGUACCACGGACCGGGUUGCCAUUUUGUACGGUCCGCGGUGCGUAGGUAUAGUGGGUCGCAGGGUCCUUUUCUAUAAAUAGGACCUCAGGGCUUCAUUUACCCUUUUCGCUCUUUGCUCACUCGAUAGUAAAAAUCACUGUUCAUACUAGCCCUAAGUACAAAUUUCACGCAUUGUCUCUCAAUCAUCUGUGUGCAUAUCAUAUUUGGUACUUCAAAUUCUUCCUAAUCUUUUAUUUUAUUUUAUCUAAAUUUUUUAGUUUUUAUUUAUUUUUCUUCUUGUUUUCUUUUAAUCUGUAUCUUAGGGUUGUUUAAUAAUUUUUAUAUUAGGUUUAGUUAGUAAAUAAUGUUGAUUAAACACCUAGACGAUCAAUAAAAUGUGCAAAUAAGGUUAAAAAUGUGAAGAAAAUUGAAAACCUAGGUUGGUAGUGUUGUUUAUGCCUUACCACGAUCCGCGAUAGAUUACCUGCGGUCCGUGGUGCUCCUACGCGGUCCGUAAUGCCAUUUUUGUGCGGACCGUGAUGGUGAUACUUCAGAAAGUCAAAAAUGAAGGACCGCAGUCGUGGUCAAUUUUGUGCGGUCUAUGGUACCUUAGCGUAGCCGCAGACUAUUUAUUGUAGUCUGCGGUGCCUAGAAUCAGAGAGUGGGUAUUCUGACCUCCUCCUCAAUACGCACCGCUGCCAUUUUCUGUGGUCCACGGUGGUUCUUUUGCGGCCACACUGCAUUUUGUGCGGUCCACAGUCUGCUAUCUGUGACUAUUUUCUUCUAUUUUUGGAAUUACUUCAUUCCUUGGUUCUUUUGAUAUUGUGACACUAACAAGCUUCAACUGAAUUCCACUUGCAGAAAGUGGUUAAAUCACGAAGUGGAGGUGGAAAACAAAAAGGAAAAGGCGAGUCCUCCCGGGGUAGGGGACAUGCCAUGAUCAGGUUAACCCCACAAGUCCAGCAGGUAAUCAAACACACCAGGAAGUCAAUAAGGGUUGCAUAUAGAGCUGCUUCCCAUUCAGGAAGUGAGUAUGUGCCCUCUCUGGUGGCAUCUGACUUCGACCCUUUGUCAGAGCAUGUUCCUGACUUGCCGGAGAGGCAUAGAUUGAGAGGUACACCUCCGAGUCUCCUACUACUCAAUCUUUAGUGGCAACUUCUUUUGAGUCAUGUGAGGGCUAAGCUGAGAGCGGUGACGGUGUCUCUUCAACCUCACCUUCAGCUUCAACACCCGGUGAGGAUCCCAUAGAAUACGAACACGGAUGGUAUGAGCCUGAAGUAGAAGUGUUGGACGGAACAAGUAAAUCAGAAGCUUGGCAAGAUAGGUUUGUUAGUAAAAUGGCCAUAAGUUCAGAGAAUGGUGGCCAGAGAGGAACUUAAUACUUGAACGAUGAUUCAUCGACAAUGAUCUUCUGCCUCACAACCCAAACAUGUAGAGGCAAUUGAGAGAAACAUUGGGUUGGGACUAUUUCACAGGAAACGUUGAGGAUGCAAAUGAGCACUUGGUGAAGGAAUUUUACGCUAAUGUUGCGCACAUCAAAAAGUGCACUAUAGUGACUAAGGUGAAAAAUUUGAAAGUAAAAUUUGAUGGGAAAACAAUCAAUGACUAAGUGAGCUUUCCGGAGGACGAUGAACCAUUAUACUUAGAAAAUGUAGCAUUGAGGAAGGAUGCCUGUCUGUGGUUAGUAGAGUACUUGGCAAUCCCAGGUGCCACCCCAGCAUGGUUGAUAUCGGGAGUAAAAUUUUUGAGUAGAACCCUGAACUUUGAGAAAAAAGGGUGGGCGACAUUUGUUUGCAGCAAGCUAGACCCCACCACUCAUGAGAACUCUCUUCCUAUCUCCCGGGCAAUAUUGGUAGCUUCUAUCAUGGCAGGGUACCCAAUUAACAUCGAGAAUGUUAUGCCCAAGGUAAUCACACUGGUGGUCUAUGAAGGUGAUAGAUCAUACCCCUUCCUAAAUUUCCUGACUAUGUACUUUGAGUCCUGGGUUGUAGAAAAAAGGGGAUUCAAUGUCAAUGUGAUAUCGAAGGCACAGCCUACAGGGUGAUGACAAACCCUAAGGCAAAGCUCCUAAUGGCAAAUCUACUGCUUCUACUGGCUAGUCUGAAGAGUUCGUAGUAGUAACUCAUACUCAACCUCCUUCAGUUACCCCAGAUAUGGCCCAGGACCCUCUACUCCUACUACCCCAGAUAUCCCCACAUCUUCAGCCUACAAAUUAACUGGCCACUGUCUAAACCAGAUCCUUGUAAGUAUCAACAACUGGAUGCAGGCAGCCACUUCUAAGUUUUUUGUACUUUCUACCUCGGUGGCAGCCCAAUCGGUACCCCCUUAGCCACAGGUCCCACCAUCAAUGGAGGACACUCUCAAGGAGCUUCUAGAAAACUACAAGAAUCUCUUAUAGAACCAGUAGUUGAUAUUAGAGGUUGUCGGUACACAUGGGAAAGCAUUGAAGGAGCUCACAGAGAAACAAAGAAGUUGAGAAAGACUCAUGCAUCAAAGGAAUCAGUGAAAGAGUUGAGGCCGGGGGUAGAGAAAUUAAAGUCUGAUCACUUGCCUUUGGAGCUAUUAUUGUAUGACCUAGCUCCAGCAGUCCAGCUUGAUCCGGAGCAGGAGGUGGAUGCGCUAGCGAUGAGGAAGAGGGCGAUUCCCCGUGCUGAUGAUGUUGUGAUAGAGUUGGAGGACCCGCAGGGAGGUUCCUCUAGCCAGUCUCAGGCCCCAGUGCAGGCUAGGACCUAGUACAGGCCCAGGACCCAGUGCAGACAUAAGUUACAAGGGUCCAGUCAUAGGUUCCCGAGCAGUCCGAAGACCCAGGGACCCAGACUAAUGAUUAUAUGCAAACGGAGGGCCAAUAGGGAGUUUCUCUUUUCUCUAUCUUUUAUUGAUAUUAUUUUGGUUAGUUAGUGAUCGCGGCCUACUCCUCACUACUAAUUAAGUAGCGAAAGUGGGUCGGAGCAGCUUUUACCCGAUUUAGGGUCGGGAUCGAUAUCCACAGAGAGCUAGAAUUUGGAGUCGAGUAUCUAUCUAGUGUAGAGUUGUGUGUGUUCUUAAUUAAACAUCUAAACUUUUUUGGGUUUUUGAUUAACUACUAAUUUUAUUAACUACAAAUGGUAAAUAAAACUUGAUUAAGCUAAGAGUUAUAAUGUUACUGGUUGUUCAAUUGGUUAAAAAGGCACUAGGGUAGUGACUUUUGCCUAGGUGGUCAAUUAACGGGUACUUAAGUAUAAGGCACGUUUUACAUAUUUGGGGAGUAUGAUAUAACUAUUGCAUGACUCUACCCACUCUACGCCUCUCGGUGGUUUGAGUGAUCCCAAAUUGACUUUUUCAAGACCAAUUAGGUAUGCAAAUAUGCACAAACAACUAGGGUUCAAGUCGGGUAUUACUCUCUCGAGGUUUAACCUUUUAAUUGGGGAUAUCAAUCUCAUGUGUACGCCCCAAAAUCUUGUUGGACUAAUUUCAGAUAGUUGGGCUCUCUUUCUCAAGAAAAACCAAAAUCAACUAAGCACAACUAGUGUUUGCAACCACUAAUUCAACAACUAAACAUAAAAUUAAAUUCAAAUAUCAAACACCCAUAGUCAAUUUAGCCCAAAAAUAUAAGACCCAUUAAUUGUCCACCCUAGGGUUGAGCCACAACCCUAGCUUAUGGGUCUAGAUACUCAUAUUUGAAGAAGAAAAACAAGAAAUAGAUGAAGAAAAACUCAUAUUAGUUAAUUACUAAGAUAAACAACAAGAUUCAAUGAUGAAACGCAGAUAAAAUAGCCCCAAAUAACUAAAAACUUCGAACCCAUGAGCGGAACUAUGUUAUGAUACUAUCUGCUUGACCUAAAAAUGGAAAAGAAACUAUUUAUACUAAGCUAGCAAUUCUAGACAAAAAUGCCCCUGCGGGGUUAGUGCGGACCUCACAAAAUGGACUGCGGUCUGCACUAGGGCUUUGGACUUGAAAAAUAUGCUCUCUAAAUCUGGGCACUGCGGACCGCACGGAAUGGACUGCGGGGGCGGAGGCUUCUAGCGCGGUCCGCAUAAAAUAGACAGCAAACUACAUUGGCUUGACACUGGGAGAUUUCAACUCUCAGAUUCUACUCACCGUGAACCUCAAAUGGACUGCGGCUGCGGAGGCUUCUAGUGCGGUCCGCAUAAUAUGGACUACGGAUCGCAUUGCCUUUGUGCCUGAAUAUUAUCUCUUUGAAUCUCGCAGUGGAGACCGCACAUAAUGUAGUGCAGCCACACUGGCCUUAUUUUGCCGUUGCUUUAUCUUUUCUUGGUACUUGUGCAAGUUUCACUCAUUUUGAGCUGAUCUUUGACAUCUUGUCACUUUGUUGAUCAAACCUGCAAUCGAGCACAACUUGUGAGCCUUUUGGGACUCUUUUGUAUGACUUUCUAAUCAAAGCAUAAGCAAGAAGGAGUAUAAAUGAGUCAAAAUAUAUAAUUAUCAACUCCCCCAAACUUAAGAUUUUUCUUGUCCUCAAGCAAAAAAAAAAACACCUACCCCUUAAGGGAACAUCCAAGAAAUUUUCAGCUGUCCUAAAGUAACCUCAUCUAGCAUCUAUUGGGACUAACAAUUGCCCUCAAUACAAAUGAAUCAUUAACAACUUUUACUCUUUGAAACUCCAUGGAUUAAGUGCAACACAAGAGUAUCAAAAUUUGACUCAACGCAUCAAAGAACUCUUUCUACUACUUUGGUCAUUGUGGAACCCAAACUCACACAUCCUCAGCUUUCCUAAGCAAACCUCACCAUUAGAAUAUGGCACUCAUUACGAGGUUAAUAGGAAUUCACUCGUCUCUAAAAAAGAAAAGUCAAAAGAUCGGUUAUAAGUACCAUAUGCUUGCCCUUUAUGUGAGUAUCCACUAAUAUAAGCUUCAUCCAACUCAAGAUCAUAUAGGUCUUUUGUGGAGACAUUGUGAAGGCUUUUGGUUUUAGGGUAGGAAAUGUUUGGUCUAAGUAGGUUCCAUCUUCCCUUAAGCACUUCUUUUAUUUCAUUUGGCACAUAUACUUGACUCGUUGAGUCAUUUUACUUGUUUCUAAGGGGUUAGAGAGACAGACUGUCACUCUUUCUUAAACAUUUAAAAUCUUUUCUCAUUUUUCAACUUUCGACACCUUUCAUUCUUUGCUUUUCUUGAAUCCCUUUUUAUUAUUUUUCACAUUAAAUAUUUUUUUGUCUUUGUGCUCUUCUUUCUUUUUCAUUGCCCUUCCUUUUCUUUAUUUUUAUUCCUUUUUACCACUUUGUUACAAUACUCGUCUCUCCCCCCAAACAUAUAUUUUUGCCAUGUGCUAAAGGAAUGAUAGGGUGCCAAGAGAGGGUAUCUUUUAGAACGGGUAAAGGCUUGUAUCACGAUUUUUGAAAGAAAAUGGUGUGAAGCUUAAAAGGGUUGACUGGGGAUCUUAUCAUUGGUAGGUUAUCGAUGUGUUCAACUGUUAUUUGGAACAAGGAGAGCCUAUAAUCUUGUCUCAAGUCAAAAUUCUCUUAGGAUUUCGCCUCAACAAACAUUCAGGGAAUGUUCUAGACCAAUGGCUUGGGACUUGGACUUGCAAUGUGAUUACUCACCACACAAGCUAUGAGAUUUCUAAAGACACAGAGUCAGGGGCCCACAAUGACCUUAGAUAAGAUUUGUGCACACAAUGGUCCCAAAAAAUCACUUGAUGAUUAUUGGUCAACACAAGAGUCUCAAGGUCACGACUUUCACCAUCCUAAACACAAAAAAUUUAUUUUUGACCAUAAGAUCAAAAGAAAAUGUGCUAGGCCCAAGUAAGUUUUGCUUGAGGAACCCUUAACUACUAGAAACAAAAAUAAAAAUGGACUUAAACCCAUAAUAAGGUUGUCACGCCAUCCAUUAUUAGGAAGAACUACCCGGUUCACAUAACACUCUACCUUUGGAAAGAACCGUCGCAUUAAGAAUACCAAGGGCUUAUUGCAAACUUUCAAAACAAGAUGCUAUGAAUCACAAAUAAAAAAAGACGUAUAACAAAUAAGAAGCUAAAAAUGAGAAACUUUUGUGAAAAGCAGAAUGAACAUAUACAAGAGGGAUUUGAAUAUACAAUAGAAGGGAUGAAUAUGUACAAUGUAACAUACUUGAUAUACAGACCCAAAGUAAAACAAAAGUGCGAUAAGUGUACCAAAUGUUAAUAUUAUAUGCAACCCAAAGAUGAAAAAUCAAGAAAGCAAAAAAAGGUAUCAAAUAUAUAUACAAUCAUCCGAAUAAAUCCAAAUGUAGGUCCUACCUCUUCAAAUAAAUGUUGGCAUUGUUCCCAAUGCCAACCAAAUAAAAUAAGCACCAAAAAAAUAAUGGAGAAGAAAGACUCUUUAUGGCUUGUCUGUCUGCAUAGGCUCCUAAAAGGUCCCUAGGUCCUUACUAUGCUCAGGAACCUCAGACCAAUUCCUUGUUACCGGCUGCUCCGCUACUGGGACCUGGGCCAGGACCUGGGCAGGCGUUGGAGGUGUAUCUUAUGGCUAACUAGAGGAAGCCUUAGGUGGGUCAACUAACUAGAUGACUGCAUCAUCAGCUCUAGAAAUCAUCCUUUUCUCUUGGGAGGUCUCUAUGACUGCUCUGCCUGAGGAUGAUCUGCUUGGAGUAGUAUAUCUAAAGACAGGUGAUCUGCCUUUAGUCUAUCUACAUCAACUCUCAACUUCUUCACGGACUCCUUGGAGGCCCGUGUCUUCCUUAGCUUCUUGUGCUCCUUAGCAAGGUCCUUGAGAGCCUUUCUAUGUGAAGCAACUACAUCCGUCAAAACCUUUUGCUUGUCGAGGAUUUUCUUCUGGUUCUCUAUAAUCUCCUUGAGAGCAUUGUUGAUCGACAAGGUAGAGUCUUUCUAUGUGAAGCAACUACAUCCGUCAAAACCUUUUGCUUGUCGAGGAUUUUCUUCUGGUUCUCUAAUAUCUCCUUGAGAGCAUUGUUGAUCGACAAGGGAACCUGUGGGGCUGGAGUUUCCGACUAAGCCUCUACCAUGGUAGUCAGGAUGGACAACUUGGAUGAGGCAGUCUGCAUCCAGUUGUUGAUAAUAAGAAGUGGCUGGCUCAAUUGGUGGGCAGUAAUAGGACGGGAAAGAUGGGAUCUCCGGGGCAGCUGAGAUGGAUGAACGAAGAGGGGCAGCAAUGGAAGUAGAGGCAGGCUCAGUUGGAGUCACUACUACAACGGGCUCUUCAGACUGGCCAGUCAGAGUAGUAGCUGUACUCUUGAAGGUCUUGAUCUUGGGGUUAUUAUCCCCCUGCAUACUAUACCAAGAACAUGGGGCCUCCACUUUGACCUUGAGGUUAAAGGGUCUCUUUUCCACUUUCUUAUCCCGGAAAUACAUGUGAGGAAACUGAGGAACGGGUAGUUUCUAUCAUGCUCCGUACCCACAACUAAAAUUAUUCUUGACUUUACAUUCCCUACGUUGAUUGGGUACCUUUCCAUGAUCGAAGCCACCAAAAUUGCGCGGUGAAGAGGUAGGUUGCUGUCAUGAGUGAUAGGGUCCAACUUGCUACAUACGAAUGUCUCCCACCCCCUCGCUUCAAAGUUCAAACUAUGCCUCAGAAUUUUGACUCUAGCAGCCAACCAGUUGGGGGUGGUACCUAGAAUUUCCAGGUAUUGUGCUAGCCAGGGACGGACCUCUUCACCCAUUUCCAUCUUUGUCAUGCAUAAGGUCUCAUCCUCGUCAUCAAAGCCAAGGUAGUCGUUGAUUGUCUUCCCAUUAAAACAACACCUUUAAGUUCCGCACCUUGGGUCACCUUUGUACCCUUUUUUAUAUGGGAAACAUUAGCGUAGAAUUCUUUGACCAAGUGCUCAUUGGCAUCCACCCAAUAGGACAAAAAGUGCCCCCAGCCAAUUCUCUCCCUAAAUUGCCUCAUCACAUUGGGGUUGUGAGGUAGCAAGUCUCUAUCUACGAAGCUCCUCUCCAGGAUCAACUUCCUCAUCGAUAUGCUACUUCACUAACAAAUCGGUCUUGCCACACCUCCGGCUUCCUAGUUCGAGAAACAAUCCCCACCUGUGGUUCUCCUCCUUCUCCUACUUCUUCUUCUCCCCUACUUCCUCCUCAUCAACUACUGCACCUUCUCAUGAUAAUGAAGCUGUGAGAGAGGUAGAGUAUUACCCACUACCAUCACCCAAGCCCUUAGACGAACCAAAAGAAAUAUUUACAGAUACUUGGUCAGUGGGGGAUGUUGGAGGAGUACCUCUCAGUCUAUGCCUCUCCGGCUCGUUAGGGAUAUGAGUUAGUACGGAAUCUGAAUAAAUCUCCCGGGAAGGCUCGUACUCACUUCGCGACAUGUCAAUGGCUCUAUCAACAACCUUCAUCAUCUUUAUUGUCUUUUUUAUAUUUUCUCAAACUUGGGGAGCGAGUUUUAUCAUAUUCUGCUUCCUGCUCUGGGAGGAUUCCCAUCUGCCCAGUUGUUUGGAUCCUUUACCUCUAUGUUGUUUCACCAUUGUCCUCAAAUAUAAUUCAAUUGAACUUGUUAAUAUCAGUUGCAACAGUUAAGAACAGAGUUGCAGGAUCAGUAAAGAAAAAGUUGCAGACAUGUUGUAGAAGUCACAUAGUGAGGACUGCACAAUAUCAACCGCGCCGCACUGGAGUCACCAGUGACCACACAAAAUCAACCGCGGUCUGCACAGAGAUAGGAUUCAGACUACCCACUCUCUGUAUCACAGAAGUGCGGACCGCACAAAAUGAAUCCUGGCCGCACUGGGGCCACUACGGUCCACAUAAAAUAUGGUGCGCCGCUGUGCCUAAGGUUCAGUAAUAAGAAGUUCAUCAAUGCAGUCCGCACGAAAUGGUACUACGGACCGCACAAGGGCACCACAAAUGGCAUAGAAAUGAAUAAAGUCCGCAAAGGGUGCCAUGCUGUGGCACUAACUUAUGGUUUCACAUAUUUGGAUUUUGGGUCCAAUUUACCACCUAAGUAGUGUCCCUACAUGAUUACCUAUUGGUUUAAACUAUCUACAUCUAUUUUAAUCCAAAAAUUAACAACCCUAACCUUCUUAAUUGAAGAAAAAUAUAGGAAGCAUAAAACGGGAGGUGAGAAAAACAUAAAUUAAAAGAAAUUAAAAAAAUUGAACAAUCAAAAUAAAGAUAACGGUACCAGAUGUGAGAUGAAAUGAAGCUAAGCAGUUCCAAACAGUUAAUUUUGAUCAAAUAAGGUGAUGAAUAGAGUUCUAAGGUUUCUGAGAUGCAACAGUUCAAAAAGUGAAAAAGGUUGGGCCUCAAGGAAUAUUUAUAGAAAAAAACCAUGGGGCCCAGUUUACCUACGCCUGUGCGGACUGCACAAAAUGGAUUGCGGUCCGCACUGCACAAAAAAUUUGAAGCUUGAGUGUUACACCUCUUUUUACCGCUUACACGUGGUUACCCCGAAAGGUGACUCGUGUAUAGGAUUUUUUCCAAUUAAAGUGACAUUAUUCGAGAUAGGAUUAAUUAUUUUAUUUAAGAGUCGCCACUUGGGAUAGGUUUGGCUUUUUGGUGUCCCAAGUCACCGAUUUAUUUAAAAUCCCAAAUCGAGGAAAUUUCAACUACCCAAUUGGAGUCUGCGAACCUGAAAUUCUUGAGUAAGGAAUUCUGUUGACCCGAGGGAAGGUGUUAGGUACCCUCGGAUCCCGUGGUUUGGCUUUUUGGUGUCCCAAGUCACCGAUUUAUUUAAAAUCCCAAAUCGAGGAAAUUUCAACUACCCAAUUGGAGUCUGCGAACCUGAAAUUCUUGAGUAAGGAAUUCUGUUGACCCGAGGGAAGGUGUUAGGUACCCUCGGAUUCCGUGGUUUCAGCACGGUCGCUUAAACUCAUUAUAAGUGGCUGAAAUUUGAUUUGCUAUAUCUGUUAACCUGCAAUUUAGAUUAUUAACCGCUUUUAACAUAUUUUUUAGUAAAAUUUGCAGUGUUAUUAAAACAUGUCGUGAAUCGCGUCACAUAAAUGCACCAGCAAUUUUAGACAUAUUUUAAUUUCAUUGAGAAUAGGAUUUGGGUCACCUAAAUACGCGCAUGAAUUUAGGAAGGUAUUUUAUUAAAUAUGCGCGCCUAUAGCAACUACCUCUUUGACAUUUAUGGGAAGGCCGUGAAAUUUGCUAAACGACACUUCCUAUUUUUCUAUGUGUUUUAAUAAAUUAAGGAGCCAUCACAUAGUAUUUGCUUGAAUUGACGCGACUCAUUUAUAUUUUUGUAAUGACAUCCUAAUCCAUGCUAAAUUUUCUACUCUUGCGCGUGCUUAAAUGCACUAAUUGUUUUAUGUAUGGACUGUGUAUUGGAAAAUAUUAUGUGUACCUUAGCCUCAUUCAUGGCUAAUUGCACAUACUGUUUCCGAUUUGGGCCAGCCCAAGAGUACGUAUUACUUGGCUACAAGUGGCAGUUAUUGCGACAGGCCUAGGUUUUUAAUCACUCAGCCCAGACAACAUGUUGAAUUACAACAUUUGGGUACUUACUGGGCCUCGCGAAUGAGCCCGGUAUUGGUUUGGACAAAAGAGUCCAGUCCUCAGUAACCAUUUUGGUUCAAAAUCAUAUACAAAGUUGAGUAUCUAUACAUUUACGAAGGAAAUACUAACAAUCAUUUUUUUAUAUCAAACUUUAACAUUGGAUAUGAACCAACUGAUUCAUAUACUCGACAGUCAGAGUAUAUGAAUCUAAUUUUCAAAAUUCAGUUACAACUUUGGUCACAACUUAUAGAUCUGAAACAAAUAUGACUAAUAUGUUGAAAUCUAAACUAAUUAAAAACAUUACCAAGCAUUUAGACUUCAACUAGCAAUUAAGUUAUUAUUUCCUGAAUCCUAUUACUUAAAGCUACGCAGGAAUUAAGCAUCUAAAACACUCAAACCACUUAGUGAACUACGCUAUCAACUAUUCAUGCUUCAAAAUAAUAGUUUGAAUGUUCUGAUUAUUACAAAUAGACCAGUCUCAGAAGUCCAGUUAUUACAAAAUGAAAUAGUCCAAAAGUUUAACUACAACAGGAUAGUCAUCUUAUUAUUACACAUAUAUUCAAACUAAUAAGGAAAAAAGUAAACAAUACAAAAAUGAUAACAACUGGAGAUCUUCACAUUUGGGAAUAUAUAUUUCACUUGAACUUCAUAUGUACAUGAACAUUGAAUGUACCUGUAAUGCACCAGAAGAAACAAGCCUAUGAGUAAAUGUAAGAGACCAGCUAAGCAAUCAACAGCCAAAUACACAGUGCAUCCAGUACUUCAGCAGAGUUUUUAGAGAAUUAAGUCCUUAGAAAAAUAAUUCAAAACUACACUAAUAGUAUUUUCAGAUAUAGGAAUAAGUAUUUCAGCUCUAGUACUCAAAAAGAAGGUUCUGGAUCCUUUUACAAUGCCUAGAUGGUUCAUUUUAUAGCAAAGCUUUUAGGGCAUCAGAUUUUGCCUUGUUUUCUUUUUAGUCCUUAACUCAAAUUGCAUUUNNNNNNNNNNNNNNNNNNNNNNNNNNNNNNNNNNNNNNNNNNNNNNNNNNNNNNNNNNNNNNNNNNNNNNNAAAUGAUCCUUCAAUAAGCUUUUAGGGCAUCAGAUUUUGCCUUGUUUUCUUUUUAGUCCUUAACUCAAAUUGCAUUUUGUCUAAAUGAUCCUUCAAUUCCUGACUUGUGCCUCAAGUUUUAAGCAAGAAUUAUGUUUUAGUCCUUCCUAGAAGGUUCUAAGGGAUUACUAUCAGGUUUUUUACAGGUUCAAAUCCCUCUUAUGCCCUCACUUCCUUUCCUAAUUACCAUCCCCUGAAAUUUUGACAUGAGUUCCUUAACCCGAGUUUAGUUACAAUUGACCCUGGUCAAUCAAAUUUAGGUCACAUUUUAAUCUUGGAAUAACAGGGUUUAAAAUCAACCAAAACUACCAAGUAUUACAAACCAAUGCCUUAAUGUAGACUUUCAACACACAAACAUUAUUCCGGAUUGUCAAAACAAAAGAUCAAAAUAGCCAGAAGAAGGCAUAUAUCAACACUUGGUUUUCAGAGAUGGCUCAAUCAAGGAUACUCAGAAAUACUUAAGAACGAGAAGCACACAGCAAAAAUGAUACAUUCAACUUAUGCAUCAAAUUGGAAGAAUAAAAGCUAACCCUUGCAAUUAAAGGUCUAUCCCAUCAAUCACCCUAAACUAGACCUCAAACCCUUAGGAGCAUGAAUCAACCAAACAUACCAGAAGUCAACAAAUAAAGAUCAAAAGACGGAGGUCAAUCGAGCCCUAAAAUCAUAUUACUGAAGAAUAAACAAAAUUAGGCUUUCCAAAAUCAGGGAACUAAUACUAGCAAGAUAUCAAUAUUACUCAACAGAUGAAAGGAUUUCAGAUUUGUAACAAACAAAAGCACAUGACCAUUUAAACCUACUUCAGGCGAGACGAUGGACAAAGAAGAAUUUAAAAGAAAACAUCUAAGAGCAUUGCUAUGAGCUAAUAGAAAUACAGAAAAGAUGAAUCACUCAGGCAAAUAUAUACAGAAGAAAACAAAUAAUUAGGAAAAAUAAAUAUAGAAAAGGCGAGGUACUUAGCUCCUAGGAGGCUUUCAUGGUUCUGAGACUCAGUGUGGUCUCAGAUUUGGAUUUGUUUGGUGGUUGAGGGUGUUUCGGAUUCAAGGGUGGCAUGGUUCGGGACUGGAGGGAUUAGGGAUUGUCUAGGAGAAUUUUGAGGCAUUUCCGACAGGUUUUGAGAUUUAGGGUUAACCUUUGAAUUGAUAUUCGAAUGGUUUCAGGUAGAUUCGAUAGGGGUGAUAUACAUGGUUGGAUAGGGGAAAUUGAGGUUCCUUAGGGGUGUAAAUUUGGAGGGCUUUGGAUCAAGGUCGCCGGAGAUAGGGUUUCCGAUGACCUUUCGGAGAAUAUUUGAGAUGAUGGGGGGGGGGGGGAUUCGGGGGGGGGGGNNNNNNNNNNNNNNNNNNNNNNNNNNNNNNNNNNNNNNNNNNNNNNNNNNNNNNNNNNNNNNNNNNNNNNNNNNNNNNNNNNNNNNNNNNNNNNNNNNNNNNNNNNNNNNNNNNNNNGGGGGGGGAAGGGGGUGUCCUAGUGGUUCUAGGGUGUAAAAGUGGAAGGGUUUGGUACAAGGUCGCCGGAGACGGUGGUUCCGACGACCAUGUUUUUGGAUAUUUGAGACGUAGGAGGCAUGUUCGACGGAAACUGACCAUAGGAUGGAUAGGGGAGGUCAUAACGGUUGAGUUGUGUAAAUCAGGGGCAUUUUGGUUGCCGACCGUCUCUGUGAGGAGAUUUCCGACGGUGGUAGUAGGGUUGUAGGCUGGUGGUCAAGGGACGGUCAAUGGUGGUCAAUGGGAGGCGUUACAGCCGGAGAAGAUGGUGCGAGGAGGGUGAUGUGUGGUCAUAUAUACAUUUUUCGAGCGAGGGUUUAAUGGCCCUUGGAUGAGAUGGGGAUGGACGGCUGUGAUGAUGGGGCUCCUAAGCGGUGUCGUUUUGUUUAGUGUUGUGUGGACUUGAUCAGGCUGGUCAUUUAGGCUGGAUUGUAUAUUGUUUUAAAGGAGGAAACAGGUUGGGCCACUCAGGUGUAGCCCAAUUGUGGCCAGCCUGAGUGGCUGUAUAUAUAUACAUACAUAUUAUAUAUUUUUUUCUUUUCUUUUAAUUUAAAAAUAAUAAUUUCUAACUUUAUUAUAAGGCCAAAAUAUCAUAAUUAUCAAAAACUAACCAAGUUGAAUUUAAACCAAAAUAAUUUUAAAUGCAGGAAUAUGUAUAUAUAUAUUUUUUUGUAUAUUAAUUUGUAACACCAAAUUUAUUUAACAAUUAAAUUUUAAACCAUUUUUAACAUGCAGUAAUGAACAUGCACAUGCAGUUAAAUCCUAAAAAUUAAAAUCCUAACAUUUAAAAGAAAAUCCUAAGCUUUAAGAGCCCUAUAGGAGCUUAUUUCGACCGGUUAAAAAUCAUAUGCUCACAGCUGCCCCUCUUUGCGCGGGAACGCGACGAGUUUUCAUGCAAAGACAAGUGAGCAAUUAUGAGCGAUUUCUGUCCUAUCGGAUACUCCAUGCGAAGCAUUUUGAAAAAUUUCUGACCGAACCUGUCUUCAAAGGUUGCCUACAUAUCCUUGGGAAUAAAGGAAUCAGGUCAGUGUAGUUCUAGAUGUUUUGGUAGUUGGGACUACCGAGAGACUGUGAUUGGGUGUUGUUGCUGCUGGUUUUGCUUACUAAGCUCCUUUUUACACCGAAAGAAAAUCAAAACUAAGCUAGCUAAGUCUAUCAACUACAAGUUACAAGAUUCCUAUCUAUGAGUCUCUUGAAGCUUGAUCUUGAGUCUCGGCUAUCUUUUGUGGAAAACUAUGAUCUAAAUCUUGAUGCUCGUUAUUGCCGCUGCCGGCUCAGUCUUCAAUUUUGAAAUAAAGCGGGAUAUGCUGAGCUUGUGAUUUCGAUUAUAUUUUGGGACUCGUUAAUUGCUGCUGCUGGCUCAAUCUUCAAUCUUGAAACAAAACAGGAUAUGCUGAUCUUCUGACUUCAAUUAUAUUGUGAGCAGUCUGUGUCUUUGUCCGCCUUAUCACUUUAAGUUCACCUUUUGUCUCUUUUAUUUUCUUGUUCUGAAUUAACACUCAUGCCUUCAAUUAUACCGAAUCUUGUGCCUUAAGGUGACACCUACUCAGACAACAAAACAAGCAAAUGAACGAAACUUUCUGCCCCAGUUUUCACUGGAAAAUUUUGUGAGUUAUUUGUAACACACAUCCAUGCUAUUCUUUAUUAAACCAUAAGGAUUGGAAUUGUGUAUCCCUUGGAAAAAUCGCUAGGUUAUGCUGGAGAGGAGAAAUGGUUCCUGCUGGGGAAUAAGAUGAGAAUCCUCGGGUUAUGCCAGGAUAAGAAUGAAAAAGUCUCUGUGGGGACCAAAAAAAGGUCUGCGGGUUAUGCCGGGAUAGGAAUGUUCCUGCUGAGGAUGGGUUAUGAAGAAAUUCAUGGGUUAUGCCAGGGGAAUCCGCUGUUUAUGCCCGGAUAAAAUAAAAAAUCCUAGGUUAUGCUAGGGGAAUCCACGGGUUAUGCCGGGAUGAAUGAAAAAUCNNNNNNNNNNNNNNNNNNNNNNNNNNNNNNNNNNNNNNNNNNNNNNNNNNNNNNNNNNNNNNNNNNNNNNNNNNNNNNNNNNNNNNUGAAUCUGCACAGAGCAUUUGAGAAUGAAAAAUCCUAAGUUAUGCUAGGAAAUCCACGGGUUAUGCUGGGAUGAAAUAAAAAAUCAUAGGUUGUGUUGGGGGAAUCCAUGGGUUAUGCCGGGAUGAAAUAAAAAAUCCUAGGUUAUGCUAGAGUAAUCCACGGGUUAUGCCGAGAUGAAUGAAAAAUCCUAGGAUAAAUUAGGGGAAUCCACGGGUUAUGCCGGGAUGAAAGGAGAUCAUGAGUUAUGUCAGGGGAAUUAAGGGGUUAUACCGGGAUGAACACAAAAACUAGGUUAUGUUAGGGGAAUCCACGGGUUAUGCCAGGAUGAAUGAAAAAUACUAGGUUAUGCUAGGGGAAUCCAAAGGUUAUGCCAGGAUGAAUGAAGGGUCCCUGCUGGGGAUGAAAGGAAACAUCCACGGGAUAUGCUGGGAUGAAAGAACCCUCCUAGGAUAUGCUAGGGGAAUCCACGAGUUAUGCCGGGAUGAAAGGAGAUCCUGAGUUAUUUCAGGGUAAUCCACGGGUUAUGCCAGGAUGAAUUAAAAAUCCUAGGUUAUGCUAGGGGAAUCCACGGGUUACACCGGGAUGAAUGAAAAAUCCUAGGUUAUGCUAGAGAAAUAUGCAGCGCAGUGGAGGAACUCAGAGAUCCUUUUGACUAUGCUGGGAUAGAGGAAGAAAGGAAUAACUCUUAGGUUAUGCUAAGAGUAGGAGAGUAUUAACUCCUAGACUAUGCUGGGGAGUAGGAAGUGUAAGGAGAGAAUCCUCAAGUUAUGCUAGGGAUAUGGAGGGAAACUUUCUAGAUAUAUGCUGGAGGGGGGAGAAUGUAAUCCUUAGGUAAUGACUGGGAAGUACACAAGCUGUGCAAAGGGGCACUAGGGAUUGGGAUCUCGUGCUGUCAUGCUCAUUUACGAAUUUGCAGAAAAAUUAAAAGAAAAGUUCCCUUUGGUCAUUGACGCAUCAGCACCUUUAGCCCUUGUUCCUAUCCUUUGGUUGUUUUUGCCCCAUGUUCUUUUUUGCUUUUCUAAGUCGCACCUGCAUCUAUUUUAGUUUAGAAACAAAACAAAUUUUUAGUUUGAAUAGUGACUGGGUUUGUGGUCUUGUGACGCUUGAUUUCGGCUUCCUUUGUACUCACAAGCGAACCCUCGGCUUUCCGUCCUUUAUUAAUUGGCCACGGGGUCCUCAUUUCGGAUCGGUUUUUGUUUCUCGGGCCUUGGGUCGUGAGUUUUGUCCUGCCUUUGAUUUUGGGCGUGCUUAUGGGGUUUUGAUAGGAAUCAACAGGUUGGGAGAACCCCAUGGUCCUUCCGUGUGGAAGGGAAGGAAGAAAGAAGGCGAACAUGAAUACUAAAAAGCGGUUCAUGGGGACCCCCAAAAAAGGGGAUCAGCUUGAGGCUUCUUUUUUUUUCAAGCUGAGUAGAAAUUUCAUAAGGGUCGAUGGCAGGUUCGAUUACGGAGAAGUCAAUAAUCAAAGAUUAUGCGGAGGGUCCAGCAGUCACAAAUAACCCAAGCAGAAGGGUCAAGCCUAUUUGAAUUUGUUAUUGGAAAAUGAGGAGGAAGACAUCUGUCAUGGAGAGGCUGCCUAGGUCAGCCAAAGGGGCUGCCAUACAAGCCACAAGAAGCUAGAAUUCUAUAGAAGGUUCUAGAAUGGCCUAGCGUGGCCUUACCAUUUGGCUUAACUGGCUCUAAACCCUCCCACCGGAUAAAGGAAUGGAAUUUCAAGUACAAGUAGUCGUCUACACUUAAAAGCUUUCUUGUCUUCACUGAUCAACAUUUAGUUUGGCCUAAGAUUUUCUAAGUCCGACGCAUCACUUACUUUUCGUCAUCGUGGGUCCAUAACCAUUUUACUACCUAUUUAUGUGGUUGAUAUCUUGAUCACUGGCAUAAUCACUCAGCCCUUGAGGAUGCAGCUUCUACGGAUUGAGGUUAUUCCCCGCUAGAAUGGGCCAGGUGGGAUGGGGGAGCGGUCGAGCGUGCAAAGGCGCAAGUCGAGCAAGGUAUCUGAACUGAAAUGUAAAAAAGCGUGCAACGAUGGGGGCCUGCUUGACCAACCGCCAUCAUACUAUGAUCAGAUACUGGAGGGGGAGGCCAGGCUUUCGCCUUUAAAGGUAUAAGCUGUGAGUCUGCACAGAGCCUUUGAUUGUACCUCGACGAAAAUCUGGUUGUUGCGAAUAGCGUAUUAAAGCCAACGGAUUCUUCCAAUGUAUCAUUUCUGGGUCCAAUGGAAUUCAUAGGUAUAGGGUGGAAAACCUAUCUGACUAAUAAGAAGAAAGGGGCAAGCCAAAACCUACUCCUAACAAGUUGCUGGAUCGAAGUAGUACAUUAUACAUCUGCCCGCCAGCAGCGGAGGGGGUUCGAUUCCCGUUAUACGCGAUGUGGCGAAAAAGACUGAUUCAACGAGAUAUGCCUUGCCUGCAUUAAGAUUUAAAACUUGUCGUCUACUUUCAGGAAAUGUUUGGAACAGAGAACUUACAAUAAUACAACGCCGUAUUCUCCGAAGAUUGAGGAAGAAGAAGAGAUCUAUUAAGAGAAAGAUUUAUUCUAGAGAAAAUCUUAACAGUUACAUCCAAUCACAAACUACACGAAAGUUGUCCCUUUUUUAUGGAGAUUUACCCAUCACAGA